AUUGAACGCUGGCGGCAGGCCUAACACAUGCAAGUCGAGCGGAUGAGGAAAGCUUGCUUUUCGAUUCAGCGGCGGACGGGUGAGUAAUGCCUAGGAAUCUGCCUGUUAGUGGGGGAUAACUCGGGGAAACUCGGGCUAAUACCGCAUACGUCCUACGAGAGAAAGUGGGGGAUCUUCGGACCUCACGCGAACAACUGAGCCUAGGUCGGAUUAGCUAGUAGGUGAGGUAAUGGCUCACCUAGGCGACGAUCCGUAACUGGUCUGAGAGGAUGAUCAGUCACACUGGAACUGAGACACGGUCCAGACUCCUACGGGAGGCAGCAGUGGGGAAUAUUGGACAAUGGACGAAAGCCUGAUCCAGCCAUGCCGCGUGUGUGAAGAAGGUCUUCGGAUUGUAAAGCACUUUAAGUUGGGAGGAAGGGUAUUCACCUAAUACGUGGGUACUUUGACGUUACCAACAGAAUAAGCACCGGCUAACUCUGUGCCAGCCGCCGCCGUAACAC
rnacentral:rRNA from 1 species